rnacentral:rRNA from 1 species
CCUACGGGUGGCUGCAGUGAGGAAUAUUGGUCAAUGGACGCGAGCCUGAACCAGCCAUGUCGCGUGAAGGAUGACUGCCCUAUGGGUUGUAAACUGCUUUUGUAAGGGAAUAAAGUCAGACACGCGUGCCUUUCUGUAUGUACCUUAUGAAUAAGGAUCGGCUAACUCCGUGCCAGCAGCCGCGGUAAUACGGAGGAUUCGAGCGUUAUCCGGAUUUAUUGGGUUUAAAGGGUGCGUAGGUGGGUGGAUAAGUUAGUUGUGAAAGUUUGAGGCUCAACCUUGGAAUUGCAAUUUAUACUGGCAGGCUUGAGAACAGUUGCGGUAGGCGGAAUGCAUGGUGUAGCGGUGAAAUGCUUAGAGAUCACGAAGAACUCCGAUUGCGAAGGCAGCUUACUAAGCUGCCUCUGACAUUGAUGCUCGAAAGUGUGGGUAGCAAACAGGAUUAGAUACCCUUGUAGUC